rnacentral:rRNA from 1 species
UGGGGAAUAUUGCACAAUGGGCGAAAGCCUGAUGCAGCAACGCCGCGUGAGUGAUGAAGGCCUUCGGGUUGUAAAGCUCUGUCUUUUGGGACGAUAAUGACGGUACCAAAGGAGGAAGCCACGGCUAACUACGUGCCAGCAGCCGCGGUAAUACGUAGGUGGCAAGCGUUGUCCGGAUUUACUGGGCGUAAAGGAUGCGUAGGCGGAUUUUUAAGUGAGAUGUGAAAACCCUAAGCUUAACUUGGGGACUGCAUUUCAUACUGGAAAUCUAGAGUGCGGGAGAGGAGAAUGGAAUUCCUAGUGUAGCGGUGAAAUGCGUAGAGAUUAGGAAGAACACCAGUGGCGAAGGCGAUUCUCUGGACCGUAACUGACGCUGAGGCAUGAAAGCGUGGGUAGCAAACAGGAUUAGAUACCCUGGUAGUCCACGCCGUAAACGAUGAGUACUAGGUGUAGGAGGUAUCGACCCCUUCUGUGCCGCAGUUAACACAAUAAGUACUCCGCCUGGGAAGUACGAUCGCAAGAUUAAAACUCAAAUGAAUUGACGGGGGUC